GGUCAGGGUCCGUUCGUUUCUACAAGGCUGCAACGGAGUCUCAACCCAAAGAUUAGGAAGCCGGGUAAGCAGCCUGGUGCACCUUACUUGGGACUGGGGUGUGUUAAGGCCCCCGCCAGGCCGGCCCAGCCUCGGGCACCUGCCGCGCCUCGGCGUGCCAGUGGUGGUGCCGCCGGCUCCCGCCGCCGCAGGAACUUCAGGAACUUUUUUUUUUUUGGUAAAUUGCUGCGUGAGGAGAGGCCCCGCCCUUCCGCGCCAGGCCGCCCGGCCGCCCCUCCCGCGCUCCCGGCGGGUGUUGGUCGGCGUGGAGGGCCUGGAGACGGCGGCCCAUGGGACCCGUGGAGCUGCCCGCCUGGCUGCAGCCCAGGUAUAGGAAGAAUGCCUAUCUUUUCAUCUACUACUUAAUCCAGUUCUGUGGCCACUCAUGGAUAUUCACAAAUAUGACAGUCAGAUUCUUUUCAUUUGGAAAAGGUUCAGUGGUUGACACUUUUUAUGCAAUUGGACUUGUCAUGCGACUUUGCCAAUCUAUUUCCCUCUUGGAGUUGCUGCACAUAUAUGUUGGCAUUGAAUCAGACCAUCUUCUGCCUAGGCUUCUGCAGCUCACUGAGAGAAUAAUCAUCCUCUUUGUGGUGAUCACCAGUCAAGAGGAAGUCCAAGAGAAAUACGUGGUGUGUGUUUUAUUCAUCUUUUGGAAUCUAUUGGAUAUGGUUAGGUACACUUACAGCAUGUUAUCAGUCAUUGGAAUAUCCUAUGCUGUCUUGACAUGGCUCAGUCAAACACUAUGGAUGCCGAUUUAUCCUUUGUGUGUUCUCGCUGAAGCAUUUGCCAUCUAUCAGUCACUGCCUUAUUUUGAAUCAUUUGGCACUUACUCCACAAAGCUGCCCUUUGACUUAUCCAUCUAUUUCCCAUAUGUGCUGAAAAUAUAUCUCAUGAUGCUCUUUAUAGGUAUGUAUUUUACCUAUAGUCAUCUUUACUCAGAAAGAAGAGACAUCCUCAGAGUCUUUCCCAUUAAAAAGAAGAAAAUGUGAAGCAUGGCACUCUGAUGUGACAUAAGAAAGGAGAGGCUGUGGAUUCAGCUGCAGUAAACACAACACAGGCCAGAAGCACCUGGAACACGCCUAUCGCAUGGAAUGAGCUGUGGGGAACCUUAAAUAUGGUAAAAGAUGGAUACUCCAGAUUCGCAUCUCCCUGGAGGAUUUCCCGGACCCAUCCCCAGACAUUGUUGAUCACCCCCCUCCCUUGCUCAUCACCACUCAGAAACUGCUGAAGAGAAAAUGGCCGCCUGCCCUGACAAGCAGGUAGCUGCCAACCUCACCUUCUGGGUCUGUUCCUUCCAUGGCUCUUUCUGCAGCAGAAGAGGCAUGCUACUGGGAAGGAGAGUGACAGCCUCCUGCACAGUGACCCUGUGCAAGGGACUCCUGCCAAGGAACCUUGAUGCUGGCCCAGCUGGACCAUUUUCCUGAUGCCAUGGUAACCAACUGGCACUGAGGCCAAGGAGCAGAGGGGCAGCGUGGUCUGCCCAUGCAACCACUGCUGUUGCAAAUAUCAGCAACAAGAAAUCCAAAGCCUACAGGAGAAAUAGGAACAAGGUUCACUUUUCACUGGGCUGGUGCUACUGUGGACAUGAGACAACUCUCUCAGUUGCCAAAGAGGAGGAUGAAUCAAAAUUUCCUACACAGUCUUGCAAAGACUAUUACAAUUGUAUUUGUCAGUUUUCUCUCAAAGCCUUCAAGAUACAAGAGAUGGGGAUGAUGGGUCUCAAGGGCUUCCCAGCCACGUCUGGUCUGCUGAAGCCAGAUGCCUUCAGGACCUGAAUGUAGACGUGAGAAAUUUUAAGCAUAUGACCAAAGGCAUGGAGGAGAAAUGAGGGAGCUCCCUCUUUAGAUGAUUAUUAAAGUAUAAAUGUCUAAAAUGGUCUAAAAGUUGCACCAUUCAUUAGCAGAGCUUCAGGCCUGAAGCUUCUGGCUUGAGGAUGUAGUAAGGGUGUCCAGAUUUUAUUCUUCUCACCCCUGAGAAGUUCUUCUAUAGAAUAACUAAUUUGUUGUUGGGCUGCUUUCUUUUUCUCUUUGUGAAAUGACCACCCAAAAGCCAUUUUCAUGAAAACAUCAGGGAGAAUCAAUCAGCAUCCGUCUGCUUGAGAAAGGAAGCAGGAAGAAUCAACCUGAUAAACUUGUUUAUGUCUCUGAGGGCCUGGAGGGCCAAAGACAAGAUAAAAGUCACCAGUAGAAUUCAUUCCCACCUCCAAAGAGUUGAUGUUGUGAGCUGUAAUUGCUCGUUUCUAUCCAAGGUGCUACUCAUUUGGGGUAAAAAGGCCUUGCCUGUGUCAAGAAGCACUAAACUAGUUAAGUUGAGGAAACAAUUACAACCUAAAAGAUGGUAGGCACAUCUUUCUGUUCCUGAUGUUCGCCCCCAGCUGGCCUUACCGGUGUUGGCGUGGCUCACAAUCCGUGCCUGGUAUAAGCUGUGCAGUAUCAUCCAGGCCAGUGUGUCUUUUUCAUGGUGCUGAAUAGCAACACUGAGCACAUCAGUCAAGCCCAUCAAGGGGAAUCGUCCUUGAGAGAUCAAGUAUAGUCUGACAAAGGCAGCCUUUUCUAGGCUGUUCUGCAAAAAAGCAAAUUGUUCAGUUACUAUUAACUGAAAUUGUUAUAGAACCUCGGGGCAAGGGCAAAAGAGAAAGGGUGAGUUUGAAGUUGAUUACCAUUCCAAAUGCUAAAACUGUUCGUUUCCUGCACAGUGUGACCUACCUGCCUGCGUGCUAUAUUAAAAUGUACCUACAGACAGAUGGUUGUAAUGUCACCUCCUGUUUUCUCAUAAAAACCAUAAAUGAUUUCAGGGGUUAAUUGGUGAGGAUAUUUAGUAAAGCUACACAAAUAAUAAUAAUAACAAUGAUAACUAACAAAUACAGUACUUAUCAUGUGCCAGGCACCAUUCUAAGCACUUAACCUGUGUUAAUUUGGCACUUCACAAAGUGUGGUACACAGACCUAUGGGGCACCCCAAGACCCUUUUAGAGGGUCUGUGAGGUCAAACUAUAUUCAUAAUAAGACCCCAAACUGUAGCAAUGUUCAUUGUAUUUUUCACUGACACUUGCAAUUUUUUAAAAAGCUAGUUUCAUUUAAAAUAUCCUGUAAACAAUAAAAAUUACUAG